GGCUUUUGCGGGAGGUGGGGGAAGGGACAGAGCGGGCGGCAUGCUCUGUCCCUUCCCCCACCUCCCGCAAAAGCC